CAACCAUGUAUGUUUGCAGGUUUGAGUGAUUCAACCAUGUAUGUUUGCAGGUUUCAGUGAUUCAACCAUGUAUGUUUGCAGGUUUGAGUGAUUCAACCGUGUAUGUUUGCAGGUUUGAGUGAUUCAACCGUGUAUGUUUGCAGGUUUGAGUGAUUCAACCAUGUAUGUUUGCAGGUUUGAGUGAUUCAACCGUGUAUGUUUGCAGGUUUGAGUGAUUCGAACUGAUGUAUGUUUGAAGGUUUGAGAGAGUCGAACCGUAUGAUUGUGGUACAUUAGGUAUUAAGUCGAUGUUCUAAUACCAAGUUUGUAUGACCUUCGGGUAAAUAACAGGUGUGAGACCUAGGUUAUGUUUUGAAACGGUAAAGGAGAAGUGCACGGUGUUUACUAGACAGUGGCUAGAUUGGGACACAUUCUAAGGCAGCACACAAUUGAACCUGAUCAUUUAUAUUGUAUUCAAAUUAAAACAAGUAAUUGAAAUACAUUAGACAAUGGCUAAUCAGGAGGCAGAGAA
ensembl:lncRNA